rnacentral:misc_RNA from 1 species
UAUAUCUCGCAAGCGAGAUACUUAUGGUAUUACAAAUAUCAAUUCAGGAGAUGAAGGGCCAAGUAAUCAGGUUACAACAUUGAGGAGAACUACCUCAUAUGUAGAUGAGGAUCACAUUUUUGUUGGCUUUCAGGAUGUUGUACAAACAUUGCUAGCUCAACUUCUCAGACCAGAGCCUCGUCGAAGUGUUGUGUCCAUUUAUGGCAUGGGUGGAUUAGGCAAG